rnacentral:rRNA from 1 species
UACGAAGGGGGCUAGCGUUGCUCGGAAUCACUGGGCGUAAAGCGCACGUAGGCGGAUUCUUAAGUCAGGGGUGAAAUCCUGGAGCUCAACUCCAGAACUGCCUUUGAUACUGAGGGUCUUGAGUUCGGGAGAGGUGAGUGGAACUGCGAGUGUAGAGGUGAAAUUCGUAGAUAUUCGGAAGAACACCAGUGGCGAAGGCGACUCACUGGCCCGAUACUGACGCUGAGGCGCGAAAGCGUGGGGAGCAAACAGG